rnacentral:rRNA from 1 species
UACAGAGGUCCCAAGCGUUGUUCGGAUUCACUGGGCGUAAAGGGUGCGUAGGUGGUGGGAUAAGUCGGAUGUGAAAUCUCCGGGCUCAACCCGGAAAUGGCAUUGGAUACUAUCUUGCUAGAGGGUUUGAGGGGGGACUGGAAUACUUGGUGUAGCAGUGAAAUGCGUAGAUAUCAAGUGGAACACCGGUGGCGAAGGCGAGUCCCUGGAAAAUACCUGACACUGAGGCACGAAAGCUAGGGGAGCAAACAGG